AACGAACGCUGGCGGCAGGCCUAACACAUGCAAGUCGAGCGCCCCCGCAAGGGGGAGCGGCGGACGGGUGAGUAACGCGAGGGAAUUUUCCUCAAGGUACGGAACAACUCAGGGAAACUUGGGCGAAUACCGUAUGAUGCCUAGCGACCAAAGAUUUAUCGCCUUGGGAUAAGCCAGCGUCAGAUUAGGUAGUUGGUGGGGUAACGGCCUACCAAGCCUGCGAUCUGUAGCUGGUCUGAGAGGACGAUCAGCCACAUUGGGACCGUGACUCGGCCCAAACUCCUACUGGAUGCAGCAGUGGGGAAUCUUGCGCAAUGGGCGAAAGCCUGACGCAGCCAUGCCGCGUGAAUGAUGAGGGUCUUAGGAUUGUAAAGUUCUUUCGCCCGUGACGAUGAUGACGAUAACGGGAGAAGAAGCCCCGGCUAACUUCGUGCCAGCCGCCGCGGUAACAC
rnacentral:rRNA from 1 species